GCCCAGGUGGUGGAAUGGUAGACACAAGGGACUUAAAAUCCCUCGGAUAUUUUUUCCGUGCCGGUUCAAGUCCGGCUCUGGGCACCACCC
rnacentral:tRNA from 1 species